rnacentral:lncRNA from 1 species
AUUUUGCCUACAACCGUUCUGUCUAAAUUUGUUCUUAACCUAAAUUCAUAAAACAGAUUCUUCUAUGGGUUUCAGUGAUAGCUUGGGUAGGGGGUGAUUUUUGUUAAAGGUACUUGAAUUCAAGAAAAAGCAAAGCCAUUCACUAAAUGGUUUUCGAAGAAUUAAUGCUCUUGUUAAACUGCCUGAGUUAUUGCCAAGAAUAAUGCAAAUCCUGAGUUACCUCUCUGGAUACAGUGUGUUUAUUUUCUGUGGGAGAGACCACUCAUUCACUCAUUCCUUUAGUCAUUCAUUUAACAGUAUUUACUGGGCUCCUAUUGUGCAUUUGGCACUGAAAAUGUUACUAGGAUACAGUGGUUAAGAGUCCAUGCAAACCCUCCUGUGGUGCAGUUUAGAGUCCUUCUGGGAAAACCUGCAUGAAGCAAAUACCAACACAAGUAAUGAUUUAAUGACUGCUGUGCUAAGUACUGUGGCGAGGUGCAUACUGCGCCAGGAGCAAAAGCUUCCACCAUUAACUGUUUCUUCUAAAACACAAGAAAAGAAAGCGUCCAACAUGAAGAGCAACUGGUUCCAACUGAUAUCAUCAAAUCAAGUACUGUCUGCUUUUUUUUCCCUGUCUAGUUGCCCAAAUAUAGGUACAAACCUAAUUUCCCAAUCUCUGCAACUAUAAUAAUUCCACACACUUAAUCAUUUUGCAAGUAGAAACUCUAAACUCAUAAGCAUAAUGUGAAUUCAGCAAGAAUUUGUUAACAAGAACAACAAAGUUAUCAUGGGGUUUACAACUAGGUUACAAAGAAAAGUUGUGGGUCUUGCAG